rnacentral:rRNA from 1 species
UGGGGAAUAUUGGACAAUGGGCGCAAGCCUGAUCCAGCCAUGCCGCGUGAGUGAUGAAGGCCUUAGGGUUGUAAAGCUCUUUUGUCCGGGAAGAUAAUGACUGUACCGGAAGAAUAAGCUCCGGCUAACUUCGUGCCAGCAGCCGCGGUAAUACGAAGGGAGCUAGCGUUGUUCGGAAUUACUGGGCGUAAAGCGCAUGCAGGCGGAUCGUUAAGUCGGGGGUGAAAUCCCGAGGCUCAACCUCGGAACUGCCUUCGAUACUGGCGAUCUUGAGUCCGGGAGAGGUGAGUGGAACUCCGAGUGUAGAGGUGAAAUUCGUAGAUAUUCGGAAGAACACCAGUGGCGAAGGCGGCUCACUGGCCCGGUACUGACGCUGAGAUGCGAAAGCGUGGGGAGCAAACAGGAUUAGAUACCCCCGUAGUCC